AUUGAACGCUGGCGGCAGGCUUAACACAUGCAAGUCGAGCGGGGUGAUGGUGCUUGCACUAUCACUUAGCGGCGGACGGGUGAGUAAUGCUUAGGAAUCUGCCUAUUAGUGGGGGACAACAUCUCGAAAGGGAUGCUAAUACCGCAUACGUCCUACGGGAGAGAGCAGGGGAUCACUUGUGACCUUGCGCUAAUAGAUGAGCCUAAGCCGGACUAGCUAGUUGGUGGGGCAAAGGCCUACCAAGGCGACGAUCUGUAGCGGGUCUGAGAGGAUGAUCCGCCACACUGGGACUGAGACACGGCCCAGACUCCUACGGGAGGCAGCAGUGGGGAAUAUUGGACAAUGGGGGGAACCCUGAUCCAGCCAUGCCGCGUGUGUGAAGAAGGCCUUAUGGUUGUAAAGCACUUUAAGCGAGGAGGAGGCUCUUUUGGUUAAUACCCAAGAUGAGUGGACGUUACUCGCAGAAUAAGCACCGGCUAACUCUGUGCCAGCCGCCGCCGUAA
rnacentral:rRNA from 1 species